rnacentral:rRNA from 1 species
UGAACUUAAUCAUAAAAAAAUCCUAGAUAGACUCUAAAGUCUCCAACACAACAAAUAACAAUAAAUAACUCACACAAGAAAAUAAAACAUUAUCGACAAUAAAAAUAUUUAGCUAGUAAUAGAGAAUGAAAACUACAUACAAGAAUAAUAAAAUAAUUUUAAUACAGAGAAAACUCUAAUAAACGAAGAGACAUUUAUAUAAAAAGUACUGAAAAGGAAAGAAUAAACAAAAACCCCAAUCUAGAACAUAUUAUAAACACCCAAUAUUAUUCCUUUUGCAUCAGGAGCUUAUGAGAAAAAAUCAUAAAUAAAUUCAAUUAAAUUCAAAUAAAAUAAAAACCACUAAAUUUAUGAAACCCGAAACCUUGUGAUCUAACCAUGAACAGAAAUAAAAGGACCAAUUAUUAAAUGUUGCAAUAUUUUUAAAUGAUUCAUGACUAGAAACAAAAAGUUAAUCGUACAAGGAAAUACCUGGUUUUCGAAGAAAUAUAUUUUAGUAUAACAAAAAUCAGAAAGUAUAAAAAAAUAAAAAUUCUGAUUCAAUAAGAAAGAAAGACAAACUAACCGUGAAAAGAUAGUUAGUUUAAAUGAAAACAGUCAUAACCUAAAUUAAAAGUAAAAAAAAUAUUUUUUAAAAUUUAAAUAACAAAUAAGUGGGCUUAAAAACAGCCACCUUCUAAUAAAAACGUAACUGUUUAUUACAAAAAAGAAAAAAAUAAAAGAUUUAUAACAAAAACACUAUAGAUUAGGUUUUUAAAAAGAUAUUCGAAUAAUACUAAUAAUUUAAGCACUAGUAAAUACCACACACACCCAAAGUAAACUAACCGGAAUAUAAAAUUUAAAGUAAGAAAAUCUAAUUAAAUAAAACAAAAACCGUUCUUUAAUCCAACUCCGGUGGGAUUAAGAAAAUUUAAUAAUUUUAAGGAACUCGGCAAAACAGGAAUUCGACUGUUUACCAAAAACAUAGCCAAUAGAAAAAAUUAUUAUUGGUGAUGCCUGCUCAAUGAUUAAAUAAUAACCACUAAAAACAAUUCAAUAGCUGCGGUAACACCUGACCGUACAAAGGUAGCAUAAUAAAUCGCCUACUAAUUAUAGGAUAGAAUGAAGGUAAAACGAAAAUCCAACUGUCUCAAAAUUAUAAAAUUUAAAAUAGAAUGUGUGUGCAAAUCCAACCAUGACGGCAGACGAUAAGACCCUAGGAACUUUACUAAAAACUUAAUUAAACAAAUAAUAAGUCGUAAGUUUCGUUGGGGCAACGAUCUUUAAAAAAGUAACUAAGAUUAAAUAAUCACAAACCACAAUUUCAUUCAAAUAUACAAGAUAAGACCCAUUAAAUAAAAAAAUUAAUGAUAACAUAAUAAAAGUUCCCUAGGGAUAACAGCGUUAUAUCGUUUCAAGAGAACCAUCCAAACGAUGUUUGCGACCUCGAUGUUGAAUUGCUAUAUCCUAAAAUGUAGCCACAUUUAAAGGUUGGACUGUCCUUCCAUUAAAAUAGCCCAUGAUUUGAGUUCAGACCGAGGCAACUCAGGUCAGAUUCUAUCUACCGUCAAAACAAAAAGACCUGAUAUAAGUACGAAAGGAAAAUAUCUACUACCCCAUAGCAAAACCACGAAAAACAAUAAAGCUUAUAAAGCAUAA